GAUAAGCAGUGGAAUUUCACUUCAAAAUGCUACUUGUAUGGGUUGUCUCAAGAGGUCUUAUUGUUCUUGUUUAGUGUCUAAUUCAUGUUGCAUCUCUAGUGUUAUGGGUUUUUCCAUGAAAUACAGGAGCUUCAAUUCAAUUAUCGAUGUCAAUCUAUGUUGCUUUAAAGCAAGCUAAAUGAUUAUACUUUACUAAUUGGUUUUCUUUAACAAGAUAGGUGAAUUAUUGUAUGCUUAAUUUUGCCACUUGUGCGCAGAAAUUGAACAUAAUGUGAAAGCAAAUUUUCCAACAGUCAGACAUUAGAAAGAGG
rnacentral:misc_RNA from 1 species